AUACUUUUCCAGUUCAUAAGAUGAUGAUUGGGCACUCACACAUUUGUGUGACAUGUGCCUCCCUUAAAACUUGUCAGGCAUUUGGCACCUUACCCAUCUAAUG